CCUACGGGAGGCAGCAGUGGGGGAUAUUGCACAAUGGGGGGAACCCUGAUGCAGCGACGCCGCGUGGGUGAAGAAGCGCCUCGGCGCGUAAAGCCCUGUCAGCAGGGAAGAAAAUGACGGUACCUGAAGAAGAAGCCCCGGCUAACUACGUGCCAGCAGCCGCGGGAAUACGGAGGGGGUAGGCGUUAUCCGGAUUUACUGGGUGUAAAGGGGGCGCAGAGGGCGAUGCAAGCCAGGAGUGAAAGCCCGGGGCCCAACCCCGGGACUGCUCUUGGAACUGCGGGGCUGGAGUGCAGGAGGGGCAGGCGGAAUUCCUGGUGUAGCGGUGAAAUGCGUAGAUAUCAGGAGGAACACCGGUGGCGAAGGCGGCCUGCUGGACUGCAACUGACGUUGAGGCCCGAAAGCGUGGGGAGCAAACAGGAUUAGAUACCCGAGUAGUC
rnacentral:rRNA from 1 species